UCUGCUGCUGUCGCUGGACUUUGGAACCGUAAAGCUUGUCAAUAAUUAAUGCAGCUAUACAUAAUACUAGAGUUAUUCAGCAUACUACAUGGAAAGCAGAAUUACAACUGCAUAGCAUGCUGGUAAACCUUGUGUAAAUCAGAAUGACCCUAACCCUGACGAGCGUGUACUGACCAGAGCCUUCAGCAGGUGCGUUGUGAAGCUUGUCUGCAGUCUCUUCAUUAAUGGUGCUGGUAUUUUCUGCAGUUUCUGUUAUUGUAACGUGUUGCAUUAACCAUCAGAUCUGCAUGUGUCAUGGAAAGCAUGAAGUCUCCGCCCAUAAAACCAUGCAAAGCUCCAGCAUCUCCUACACAGCCCAUGGGGUUGGGCAGUCCUGAGUUACUCCAGGAACUGAAGCAGCCUCACACUCUGAAACAUGUUCCACCCCACACAGGCCUCACCACAGUGUUCUCUGGACGAGGA